UCUACGGGUGGCAGCAGUGAGGAAUAUUGGUCAAUGGACGAGAGUCUGAACCAGCCAAGUAGCGUGAAGGAUGACUGCCCUAUGGGUUGUAAACUUCUUUUAUAUGGGAAUAAAAUGUUCCACGUGUGGGCUUUUGUAUGUACCAUAUGAAUAAGGAUCGGCUAACUCCGUGCCAGCAGCCGCGGUAAUACGGAGGAGCCGAGCGUUAUCCGGAUUUAUUGGGUUUAAAGGGAGCGUAGGUGGAUUGUUAAGUCAGUUGUGAAAGUUUGCGGCUCAACCGUAAAAUUGCAGUUGAAACUGGCAGUCUGGAGUACAGUAGAGGUUGGCGGAAUUCGUGGUGUAGCGGUGAAAUGCUUAGAUAUCACGAAGAACUCCGAUUGCGAAGGCAGCUCACUGGACUGCAACUGACACUGAGGCUCGAAAGUGUGGGUAUCGAACAGGAUUAGAUACCCUUGUAGUC
rnacentral:rRNA from 1 species